CAAUGAUAUCCACAUGGCAAAGAAAGAAGUUGGACCUUUACCUCAUGCCAUAUACAAAAAUUAACUCAAAUGAGACCAAAACCUAAAUGUAAGAAACUAUAAAAUUCUUACAAGAAAACAAAUAUAAAAAAAAGAAAAACAGUAAGUCUAAAAUUCUAAUGAGCUUGAAUCUGGCAAUGGUAUCAUAACUGUGACACCAAAAGCACAAGCAACAAAAUAGAUUAACUGGACUUUAUUAAAAUUAAAAACUUUUGUGCAAAGGACACUAUCAAGUGACUGAAACGACAACAUAGUUGGAGAAAAUAUUAGAGAAUCAUUCUAUCUGAAUAAAAAAUUCUUACAUCUCAACAACAAAAGACAAACCUAUUUAAAAUACGGCCAAAGAAUGUGAAAACUCUUCUCCAAAGAAAAUGUACAAAUGGCCAUUAAAAGCACAUGAUGAGAUGCUCAAGGCACCAUUAGUCAUCAGGAAAUGAAAUUCAAAACCACAAUGAACUACUGCUUUACCCCACUAGGAUGGCUAUCAUAAAAACAAAACUAGAGGCCAGGGAUUUAGCUCAGUGGUCUGCUGCCUUCCUUGCAAGCUCAAGGUCCUGAGUUCGAUUCCUGGUACCAAAAAACAAACAAACAAACUAGAAAACAGCAAGUGUUGAUGAGGAUAUGGAAAAACUAGAACCCUUGUACAGUGCUGGUAGAAAUGUAAAACGAUGCAGCUGCUGUAGAAAAAUUGCCCAAAGAUGGAAACAACUCAAAUGUCUAAAAACUCAUUUGAUAAACAAAAUAUUAUUCAGCCAUAAAAAAAAAAUUAAAGCCAGGUAUGGUGGUACAUGACUGUAAUCCACCACACCGGGAGGCUGAGGCAGGAGGAUCCCAAGUUUGAGUCCAGCCUGGGCAACUUAGUGACUUAAUGAGACCCUGUCAAAACAAAAUUUAAAAAGGGCCGGGGGGGGAAGGGGCGGGGACGUACCCCAGUGGUGCUAUGCCUGCCUGGCAAGCUCAAGGUCCUGAGUUCAAACCCUGGUACCAAAAAAACCCCAAAAAAACAAAAAAGAAAAAGAAUUAAGUACUGAUACAUCUAUAAUAUGGAUAAGCCUUGAAAAUGUGCUAAAAUGGAAGAAGACACAAAAGGUCACAUAAUGAUU
ensembl:lncRNA